GAUGAACGCUGGCGGCGUGCCUAAUACAUGCAAGUCGAGCGAACAGAUGAGGAGCUUGCUCCUCUGACGUUAGCGGCGGACGGGUGAGUAACACGUGGAUAACCUACCUAUAAGACUGGGAUAACUUCGGGAAACCGGAGCUAAUACCGGAUAAUAUAUUGAACCGCAUGGUUCAAUAGUGAAAGACGGUUUUGCUGUCACUUAUAGAUGGAUCCGCGCCGCAUUAGCUAGUUGGUAAGGUAACGGCUUACCAAGGCGACGAUGCGUAGCCGACCUGAGAGGGUGAUCGGCCACACUGGAACUGAGACACGGUCCAGACGCCUACGGGAGGCAGCAGUAGGGAAUCUUCCGCAAGGGGCGAAAGCCUGACGGAGCAACGCCGCGUGAGUGAUGAAGGUCUUCGGAUCGUAAAACUCUGUUAUUAGGGAAGAACAAAUGUGUAAGUAACUAUGCACGUCUUGACGGUACCGAAUCAGAAAGCCACGGCUAACUACGU
rnacentral:rRNA from 1 species